rnacentral:rRNA from 1 species
UACGGAGGGUGCAAGCGUUAUCCGGAUUCACUGGGUUUAAAGGGUGCGUAGGUGGGCCGGUAAGUCAGUGGUGAAAUCUCCAGGCUUAACUUGGAAACUGCCAUUGAUACUAUCAGUCUUGAAUACCGUGGAGGUCAGCGGAAUAUGUCAUGUAGCGGUGAAAUGCUUAGAUAUGACAUAGAACACCAAUUGCGAAGGCAGCUGGCUACACGAAUAUUGACACUGAUGCACGAAAGCGUGGGGAUCAAACAGG